rnacentral:rRNA from 1 species
GGAUUAGGCAUGCAAGUCGAACGAGAACGGCUCCUUCGGGGGCCUAGUACAGUGGCGAACGGGUGAGUAAUGCAUGGAUAACCUGCCUUCGAGAUGGGGAUAACUGCUCGAAAGGGUAGCUAAUACCCCGUAAUGUGCAGAGCCAGAAGGUUCUGUACCAAAGAUAGCCUCUGAUUCAAGCCUUCGCUCGGAGAAGGGUUCAUGUCCUAUUAGCUAGUUGGUAGAGUAACGGCCUACCAAGGCGACGAUGGGUAGCCGGCCUGAGAGGGUGACCGGCCACACUGGGACUGAGACACUGCCCAGACUCCUACGGGAGGCUGCAGUCGAGAAUCUUCCGCAAUGCGCGCAAGCGUGACGGAGCGACGCCGCGUGGGCGACUAAGGCCUUCGGGUUGUAAAGCCCUGUUGUCUGUGAAGAAUGGCAGGUGGUGAAUAGCUAUCCUGCUUGACGUUAGCAGAUGAGGAAGCACCGGCUAAAUACGUGCCAGCAGCCGCGGUAAUACGUAUGGUGCGAACGUUGUUCGGAAUUACUGGGCAUAAAGAGCUCGUAGGCGGUUUGGUAAGUCUGUCUGUGAAAUCCCUCGGCUCAACCGAGGAAUUGCAGUGGAUACUGCUGAACUGGAGUGCAGGAGGGGAGAGUGGAAUUCCUGGUGGAGCGGUGAAAUGCGUAGAUAUCAGGAGGAACGCCGGUGGCGAAAGCGACUCUCUGGCCUGUAACUGACGCUGAGGAGCGAAAGCCAGGGGAGCGAACGGGAUUAGAUACCCCGGUAGUCCUGGCCCUAAACGAUGGGCACUAAGUAGAGGGGUUUU